AUGGUUCCAAGCUGGCUGUGCUGGGGUCGGUGGGGACCUGGGCUGAGUUUGGGACAUCAGGAGAGGGCAGCGGCGGUUUUUGUCCUGGGCCUCAGGGCUGUGAGCAACGACCCUCUGUUCUUCGGCGGGGGCACCCGGCUGACUGUGCUAGACGACCUGAGCAAGGUGACCCCACCCAAGGUGGCUGUGUUCGAGCCGUCAGCAGCAGAGAUCUCCCGGACCCAGAAGGCCACGCUCGUGUGCCUGGCCACGGGCUUCUACCCCGACCACGUGGAGCUGAGCUGGUGGGUGAACGGGAAGCAGGUCGAGACGGGGGUCAGCACGGACCCUCAGCCCCACAAGGAGGACCCCAGCCGCAACGACUCCAGCUACUGUCUGAGCAGCCGGCUGAGGGUCUCCGCCAGCUUCUGGUACAACCCUCGCAACCUCUUCCGCUGCCAAGCCUGGUUCCACGGGCUCUCGGACGAGGACGAGUGGAAGCAGGACAGGCCCAAACCCGUCACCCAGACCAUCAGUGCCGAGGUCCGGGGCCGAGCAGACUGUGGCCUCACCUCGGCGUCCUACCAGCAAGGGGUCCUGUCUGCCACCAUCCUCUAUGAGAUCCUGCUGGGGAAGGCCACCCUGUAUGCUGUGCUGGUCAGCGCCCUGGUGCUGAUGGCCAUGGUUAAGAAAAAGGAUUCCUGAGACCAGCUCCAAAAGUGCACCCUGAGUCAUUCUUCAUCCUCUCCUUGGAUGUUCCUUAACAUGUUUCCAGUCUGUGUUCCUCAAGGGUUUCUCUCUCUCCACCUUCUUUUAUCUCCUUCCUACUUGGAUAUCUGUCCCUUCUCUCAGCUUCCCUGCAGACUGAGCUCCUCCCCACUGAAUCUGAAAUUGAUUAAAGUAAUAAAAGUGUCAUG